GAUUAGGCAUGCAAGUCGAACGGUAUGGUGCUUUCGGGCAUCAGAGAGUGGCGAACGGGUGAGUAACACGUAGGUUAUCUACCCUCAAGACGGGGACAACCCAGGGAAACUUGGGCUAAUACCGGAUGAAAGCAACCGUGAGGUUGUUUAAAAGAUGGCUUUAAGCUGUCGCUUGGGGAUGAGCCUGCGUCCUAUUAGUUAGUUGGUGAGGUAACGGCUCCCCAAGGCAAUGAUAGGUAGGCGGCCUUAACGGGUGGUCGCCCACACUGGGAUUGAGAAACGGCCCAGACUCCUACGGGAGGCAGCAGUCGAGAAUAGUCUACAAUGGCCGAAAGGCUGAUAGUGCGACGCCGCGUGAACGAGGAAUCCCUUCGGGGUGUAAAGUUCUUUUAUAUGUGAGCAGUGCCGGCUAUAUUAAUAGUAUAGUUGGAGAGAUAUUAGCAUAUGAAUAAGCAACGGCUAACUCCGUGCCAGCAGCCGCGGUAACACGGGGGUUGCAAGCGUUGUCCGGAAUUACUAGGCGUAAAGGGCAGGCAGGCGGACCUGCAAGUUUUCUGUUAAAGACGUCAGCUCAACUGGCGCACGGCAGGAGAUACUGCAGGUCUUGAAUGCGGUUGGGGAAGACAGAAUUCCUGGUGUAGCGGUGGAAUGCGCAGAGAUCAGGAGGAAUACCAAAGGCGAAGGCAGUCUUCCAAGCCGUUAUUGACGCUGAACUGCGAAGGUGUGGGUAUCAAAUAAGAUUAGAUACCCUGGUAGUCCACACAGUAAACGAUAAUCACUAGGUGUCGGUUUUGUAUAGGAUUCGGUGCCGUAGCUAACGCGUUAAGUGAUUCGCCUGGGGAGUACGAUCGCAAGAUUAAAACUCAAAGGAAUUGACGGGGGCCCGCACAAGCAGCGGAGCAUGUGGUUUAAUUCGAAGCAACGCGAAGAACCUUACCUAGACUUGACAUCUCCUGCAUUACUCUUAAUCGAGGAAGUCUCUUCGGAGACAGGAUGACAGGUGGUGCAUGGUUGUCGUCAGCUCGUGUCGUGAGAUGUUGGGUUAAGUCCCGCAACGAGCGCAACCCUUAUUGUUAGUUGCCAUCAUUAAGUUGGGCACUCUAGCGAGACUGCCCGGGUUAACCGGGAGGAAGGUGGGGAUGACGUCAAGUCAUCAUGCCCCUUAUGUCUAGGGCUACACACGUGCUACAAUGGUCGGUACAAUAAGACGCAAGCCCGCGAGGGGGAGCAAAACUGGAAAACCGAUCUCAGUUCGGAUUGUAGGCUGAAACUCGCCUACAUGAAGCUGGAGUUGCUAGUAAUCGCGAAUCAGCAUGUCGCGGUGAAUACGUUCCCGGGCCUUGUACACACCGCCCGUCAAG
rnacentral:rRNA from 1 species